UACGUAGGGUGCGAGCGUUGUCCGGAAUUACUGGGCGUAAAGAGCUCGUAGGUGGUUUGUCGCGUUGUUCGUGAAAACCGGGGGCUUAACCCUCGGCGUGCGGGCGAUACGGGCAGACUUGAGUACUGCAGGGGAGACUGGAAUUCCUGGUGUAGCGGUGGAAUGCGCAGAUAAUCAGGAGGAACACCGGUGGCGAAGGCGGGUCUCUGGGCAGUAACUGACGCUGAGGAGCGAAAGCGUGGGGAGCGAACAGG
rnacentral:rRNA from 1 species